UCCUACGGGGGGCAGCAGUGGGGAAUAUUGCACAAUGGGGGAAACCCUGGACCAGCAACGCCGCGUGAGGGAAGACGGUUUUCGGAUUGUAAACCUCUGUCCUCUGUGAAGAUAAUGACGGUAGCAGAGGAGGAAGCUCCGGCUAACUACGUGCCAGCAGCCGCGGUAAUACGUAGGGAGCGAGCGUUGUCCGGAUUUACUGGGUGUAAAGGGUGCGUAGGCGGGUAAGCAAGUCAGAAGCGAAAUCCAUGGGCUUAACCCAUGAACUGCUUUUGAAACUGGUUAUCUUGAGUGAAGUAGAGGGA
rnacentral:rRNA from 1 species